GACGAACGCUGGCGGCGUGCCUAAUACAUGCAAGUCGAGCGAACAUUUGAGAGCUUGCUCUCAGGAUGUUAGCGGCGGACGGGUGAGUAACACGUGGGCAACCUGCCUAUAAGACUGGGAUAACUUCGGGAAACCGGAGCUAAUACCGGAUAAUUCAUAUCUACUCAUGUAGAUAUGCUGAAAGACGGUUUACGCUGUCACUUAUAGAUGGGCCCGCGGCGCAUUAGCUAGUUGGUGAGGUAACGGCUCACCAAGGCCACGAUGCGUAGCCGACCUGAGAGGGUGAUCGGCCACACUGGGACUGAGACACGGCCCAGACUCCUACGGGAGGCAGCAGUAGGGAAUCUUCCGCAAUGGACGAAAGUCUGACGGAGCAACGCCGCGUGAGUGAUGAAGGUUUUCGAUCGUAAACUCUGUUGUUAGGGAAGAACAAGUACCAGAGUAACUGCUGGUACCUUGACGUACCUAACCAGAAAGCC
rnacentral:rRNA from 1 species